AUUGAACGCUGGCGGCAGGCCUAACACAUGCAAGUCGAGCGGAUGAGGAAAGCUUGCUUUUCGAUUCAGCGGCGGACGGGUGAGUAAUGCCUAGGAAUCUGCCUGUUAGUGGGGGAUAACUCGGGGAAACUCGGGCUAAUACCGCAUACGUCCUACGGGAGAAAGUGGGGGAUCUUCGGACCUCACGCUAACAGAUGAGCCUAGGUCGGAGUAGCUAGUAGGUGAGGUAAUGGCUCACCUAGGCGACGAUCCGUAACUGGUCUGAGAGGAUGAUCAGUCACACUGGAACUGAGAACCGGUCCAGACUCCUACGGGAGGCAGCAGUGGGGAAUAUUGGACAAUGGGCGAAAGCCUGAUCCAGCCAUGACGCGUGUGUGAAGAAGGUCUUCGGAUUGUAAAGCACUUUAAGUUGGGAGGAAGGGUAUUCACCUAAUACGUGGGUACUUUGACGUUACCAACAGAAUAAGCACCGGCUAACUCUGUGCCAGCCGCCGCAGUAAAAC
rnacentral:rRNA from 1 species